AUCCUCGGGAUACGGAUUACC
rnacentral:miRNA from 2 species